UACGUAGGUGGCAAGCGUUGUCCGGAAUCAUUGGGCGUAAAGCGCGCGUAGGUGGCCACAUAAGUCCGUUGUGAAAGUCAAAGGCUCAACCUUUGAAAGCCGAUGGAUACUGUGUGGCUAGAGUACGGAAGAGGCGAGUGGAAUUCCUGGUGUAGCGGUGGAAUGCGCAGAUAUCAGGAGGAACACCAAUAGCGAAGGCAGCUCGCUGGGACGUUACUGACACUGAGGCGCGAAAGCGUGGGGAGCGAACAGG
rnacentral:rRNA from 1 species